CAGAAUAAGGGCACACUAGAUUAACGUACAAAACCAGUUUUGACCAUAUUCGCCUGGUGUGCUCUUAUUCUGAA
rfam:Acyrthosiphon pisum strain LSR1 Contig12037, whole genome shotgun sequence.